GACAAUUGCACGCAGAAUGAUGCCCCAUCGUUGCCCCAUUUACUCGACCAACUUGCUUCCUCUGAGAAUGACCCUUCUCUCCUUUCUUCUUCCUUCUCUCAUCUUCAUCUCCCCUAUAUAAUAUAACACCUUCUUCUUCUCCCUUCCAUACCCAUAUAUCUCAAUUCAUUCCAAUUGUACCAACUACUACUGUUAAUUUCCCCUGCUAAAUUCCAUAUCUCUCAAAGUACAACAAAGACUACGUACUCUAUAAUUUGUUAUAACCGUCCAUUAUGAAGAUGAUGGUUGGGUCGUCAAAGAGAUCAAGGAUGAUAUCCUCAACACCAUCAAGCAAAGGGCUUGGAGGUGCCCUCAGAGAACAAAAGGCCAGGCUUUACAUCAUCAGGAGAUGUGUCGUUAUGCUCCUCUGCUGGCAUGAUUGAUCAUUAGUUCUUCCUCUUCUUCAACCUUUUUCAUUUUAAUUCAGGAAGAUAUAUAGUCUUGGGGGGUUUUUGUUCCUUAGCUUGUUUUCCCCCUUCAAUUUCCUAUUUGUAAAUAGUCGAUAUAAUUAGUUAAGAAGGAAGUGGUUUUGGCUGUAUAAGCUCUCUGCAUUUUCGGAUACGACAAUCAAAAGUUUCAAUUUUUCUCAAUUUUUGCAUUAUAUUGUUACGUUGUAAAGAUUCAUGGGUUGUAAAAAAAAAUUAUGAACAUAAAGUAUCUAUGAUAAAAGAGUGUACCAAGCAUGAUACAUCAUUUCGAACGAUCCUAGAAUAGUAUUGGUGUGCAAUUUUAUCUUUAUUAGUAAAAAUUAAAUUUUAUGGUAUCAAUCUAAUUACAGCUACCUAUAUAC
rnacentral:lncRNA from 1 species